rnacentral:lncRNA from 1 species
GGUGAGGUUGAGACACAGAAUAAAAUUAUUCUAUGUUCAAUGUGAUUUUUGUCUUGUAUAAUAAUAUAUAAAAUAAAUUUAUUCUGAAAGUACAGUUAUUAUAUUAAGGUGGAGACACAGAAUAAACUUAUUCUACAUUCAAUGUGGAUUAAAAGUAUUAUGAUAUAUAAAAUAAAUUUAUUUUGAUAGUACAGUAAUUAUGUUAAGGUUGAGACACAGAAUAAAUUUAUUCUGGUUAUAAAAAUAUAUAAAAUUUGUUUAGGAAAAAAU